GACGAACGCUGGCGGCGGGCUUAACACAUGCAAGUCGAACGGAAAGGCCCUGCUUUGGUGGGGUGCUGGAGUGGGGAAGGGGAGAGAAACAUGUGAGUAAACUGCCCUUGACUUAGGGAUAACUACAGGAAAUUGGGGCUAACAGCGGAUAGGAGCUCCUGCAGCAAGGUGGGGGUUGGAAAGUUUCGGCGGGUGGGGAUGGGCUCGCGGCUUAUCGGCUUGUUGGGGGGGUAGUGGCAUACCAAAGCGUGGCCGGGUAGCCGGCCUGGGCUGGUGACCGGCCACGUUACGACUGAGCUACGGCCCAGCCUCCUACCGGAGGCAGCGGUGGGGAGUGUUACACUAUGCGCGGAGGCCUGAUGCAACCCCGCCGCGUGCGGGAUGACGUCCUUCCGGUUGUGAACCGCUUUCGCCUUUGACGAAGCGUGAAUGACGGUACUGGGUGAAGAAGCACCGGCUAACUACGUG
rnacentral:rRNA from 1 species